AACAGGAUUAGAUACCCUGGUAGUCCACGCCGUAAACGAUGUCGACUUGGAGGUUGUGCCCUUGAGGCGUGGCUUCCGGAGCUAACGCGUUAAGUCGACCGCCUGGGGAGUACGGCCGCAAGGUUAAAACUCAAAUGAAUUGACGGGGGCCCGCACAAGCGGUGGAGCAUGUGGUUUAAUUCGAUGCAACGCGAAGAACCUUACCUACUCUUGACAUCCAGAGAACUUAGCAGAGAUGCUUUGGUGCCUUCGGGAACUCUGAGACAGGUGCUGCAUGGCUGUCGUCAGCUCGUGUUGUGAAAUGUUGGGUUAAGUCCCGCAACGAGCGCAACCCUUAUCCUUUGUUGCCAGCGGUUCGGCCGGGAACUCAAAGGAGACUGCCAGUGAUAAACUGGAGGAAGGUGGGGAUGACGUCAAGUCAUCAUGGCCCUUACGAGUAGGGCUACACACGUGCUAUAAUGGCAUAUACAAAGAGAAGCGACCUCGCGAGAGCAAGCGGACCUCAUAAAGUAUGUCGUAGUCCGGAUUGGAGUCUGCAACUCGACUCCAUGAAGUCGGAAUCGCUAGUAAUCGUGGAUCAGAAUGCCACGGUGAAUACGUUCCCGGGCCUUGUACACACCGCCCGUCACACCAUGGGAGUGGGUUGCAAAAGAAGUAGGUAGCUUAACCUUCGGGAGGGCGCUUACCACUUUGUGAUUCAUGACUGGGGUGAAGUCGUAACAAGGUAACC
rnacentral:rRNA from 1 species